AACGUGGAGGAAGGUGGGGAUGACGUCAAAUCAUCAUGCCCCUUAUGUCUAGGGCUACACACGUGCUACAAUGGCUGGUACAACGAGCAGCAAACCCGCGAGGGGGAGCAAAACUUGAAAGCCAGUCCCAGUUCGGAUUGUAGGCUGAAACUCGCCUACAUGAAGUUGGAGUUGCUAGUAAUCGCGAAUCAGCAUGUCGCGGUGAAUACGUUCCCGGGUCUUGUACACACCGCCCGUCACACCAUGAGAGCCGGUAACACCCGAAGCCCGUGAGGUAACCGUAAGGAGCCAGCGGUCGAAGGUGGGAUUGGUGAUUGGGGUGAAGUCGUAACAAGGUAGCCGUAGGAGAACCUGCGGCUGGAUCACCUCCUUUCUAGGGA
rnacentral:rRNA from 1 species